AACUUUUAAAGGAUAAUAGCUAAUCCACUGGUCUUAGGAACCACACAUC
rnacentral:tRNA from 1 species